rnacentral:lncRNA from 1 species
AGCGGUUCCUCGCCGCCGGUCACCUUCCUGUCCCCGGCAGGGCCCGCCGCGCGCGUCUCUCCUCCGCCCCACGGCCCGUGCCCGCCCUGCCCCAGCCGAGGGCACCCGCGCGGCCCGGGCCGCAGCCGGGCGCCCUCGCCUCCCGGACGGUCGCGGACUCGGGUCUCUGGAGAGUCAGCCUGUGGUCUCCUGAUAAGCUUCCGCAAGGUGAGUUUCAAGGAACUAAUCCAUUUCAUAUACUCAAAUACAGCAUCUAGCUGGUGGCCUGUUUUCCUUGAAUUUAUCUUUAUUGUUACCUGCUGUGUUUCGGCCUUUGACAUGUGGUGAUCACGGCCCCCCUGCUUGGGACGGACUGCAAGGGAUCUAACAUGAAGAAGACUGAGCCCACGAAACAGACUGUGAGCGUUCCCACACCAGGACAUGGGCUAAGAUACACAGUUUUGGAGUGAGAUGGAAGGAGAAUGGUAUGAAGUGUCCAUUCUGUAGGGAAGUGUGUCCUAGAAGAAAAGCUCACCCUUUGGUCUCCUCUCUCAUCCUCUGGUAAUGAAAAGGCCUCUAAAAAUAUAUGCAGAAUGUUUACAGUGACAUUAUCAUUUUUUAUUCACAUUGGCACACUUUUGAGAGUGAAUGGGGACAUUAUUAAUAAUCGCACCAGGGCAGUGGAUGUAAACCAAGUUACCCUAAUAGAAGACCAAAUGAUUUUCAUGCCAUAAAAUAUCUCGCAACGUUGGUUCCUUCCUCAUAAGAACAGCUGUCUUUUCCUACCUUUUCCUUUCUGGGCACACCUUUACCAUACCCAGAGUUGACCUAUGUGAUUUCUGGCAUCCUUCUCAAGUACUUUCUUUAUAAAGUAUUUUCUUUUUUGUGUCAGAAUUUGGAUUAAAAAAAAAAAACUUUUGUUCUCUAAGAAUCGCUUACACAUUUCUUUAGUGAUACAUUUGGGAGAGAGAAAAAAAAAGAAUAAAUCAGGCAUAAAUUCACA